rnacentral:rRNA from 1 species
AAUGAACGCUGGCGGCGCGCCUAAUACAUGCAAGUCGAGCGAGAAGACGUAGCAAUACGUUUGUAAAGCGGCGAGCGGGUGAGGAAUACAUGGGUAACCUACCCUCGAGUGGGGAAUAACUAGCCGAAAGGUUAGCUAAUACCGCGUACGCUUCUUGGACUUCGGUUCAGGGAGGAAAGCGAUGCCGAGGGUAUCGCGCUCUUGGAUGGGCUCAUGUCCCAUUAGCUAGUUGGNGAGGUAACGGCUCACCAAGGCGACGAUGGGUAGCCGGCCUGAGAGGGUGUCCGGCCACACUGGGACUGAGAUACGGCCCAGACUCCGUACGGGAGCAGCAGUGAAGGAAUAUUGGUCAAUGGACCGAAAGGCUGAACCAGCAACGCCGCGUGAGGGA